rnacentral:rRNA from 1 species
UACGUAGGGUGCGAGCGUUGUCCGGGAUUACUGGGCGUAAAGAGCUCGUAGGUGGUUUGUCGCGUUGUUCGUGAAAUCUCACGGCUUAACUGUGAGCGUGCGGGCGAUACGGGCAGACUAGAGUACUGCAGGGGAGACUGGAAUUCCUGGUGUAGCGGUGGAAUGCGCAGAUAUCAGGAGGAACACCGGUGGCGAAGGCGGGUCUCUGGGCAGUAACUGACGCUGAGGAGCGAAAGCCAGGGGAGCGAACGGG